rnacentral:rRNA from 1 species
UACGUAGGGCGCGAGCGUUGUCCGGAAUUAUUGGGCGUAAAGAGCUCGUAGGCGGCUUGUCACGUCGGUUGUGAAAGCCCGGGGCGUAACCCCGGGUCUGCAGUCGAUACGGGCAGGCUAGAGUUCGGUAGGGGAGAUCGGAAUUCCUGGUGUAGCGGUGAAAUGCGCAGAUAUCAGGAGGAACACCGGUGGCGAAGGCGGAUCUCUGGGCCGAUACUGACGCUGAGGAGCGAAAGCGUGGGGAGCGAACAGG